UUGUAGCAAGUAAAGUUCUUGAAGACAUUUGUGUCAUAAGGUCUAGUUCUGAGGAUGGGUUCCAUGAGAAAUCGAAGAAAUUCCUCAAAUCUUAUAGGCAUACAAUACAUACAGUAAUGUUUGGAUUCUCGUCAACAUAUCAAGCAUUUUUAUUUAAACAAGUUAGUGAUAUUGACCAGAACGGAACUCUUCAACGCGCGCGAUUCUUAUUCUUUGUUAAGUUUGUAGCAAGCUAGGUUCUUAGGAAACAUUUGUGUCAAGGUCCAGUUCUGAUGAUGGAUUCAAUGAGGAAUUGAGGAUUUUAAAUCGAUUUGAAUUCACAAUUAGGAGGAAUUGAGGAUUUUCGUCAACAUAUCAAGUUUUUUUUAUUUGAACAAGUGAUAUUUGAUGAAGUGAAACUGCUGAUAUUACUGAAACUAUGCUGAUACUGCUGAAAUGGAACUCUUCAACGACAAGUAUUUUACCUUAGGCGUUUUUUUUAUUUUAUUUCGUUUAUAGCAUGUAAGGCUUUUAAGGAACAUUUGUGUCAAGGUCCAGUUCUGAUGAUAGGUUCUACGAGAAACUGAAGGAGCUUCUCAUAUUGUAUAGGAUAGGCAUACAUAUAGUCAUUUUAGGAUUUUCAUCAAUAUUACAAGCAUUUUUACUCAAUAAAGUGACAUUUGUUGAAGUAGAAUUGCUGAUGAAGAACGGAACACCUCAACGACUUCCAGAUUCUUUAUUUUUAUUACUCUUCUUUCUUUUUCAUUAUUCUUAGAACAGGUAUUUCUACGAAGUGGACCGAACUGCUACUAUUAAAAGUAGGUAGGUAGGUAGGUUAAAUAGGUUAAAACUGUAAGGAUUAUUAUGUAUAAGUAGUUUCUUUUAAUUAAACAUAGGUAAGUAAUUCUAUUUAAGUAUAAGUAUCUUUAAAAAAAACAUCAAUCGACUCUUAUCUGUCACUAGUUCCAGUUUCAGAGUAUAAAAUCCGGGUACACAGCCACGGCUAGCCGGGUAGCCAGACAGUUCGAAUACGGACAAGUUAUUGUGAAUAAAAAAUCUUAUCGUCUUGCAAAAGUUAAUGUCAUAAAUGUAUAGGUUUCGAAUACAUGAAUAUAAACUGAAAAUGCUGGUAAAAGUAUUAGUUUUUAUCAUUAACCAUUUUAUAUCCCAACAAAACUGUUACCCUUACAAAAAUAAAAUGCUUUCAUUACCUAAUGUAGGUUACGUUAGGUAAUAAAUAAAUAAAUAUGUAGGGACAAUCUUACACAGAUUGGCCCCAAACUAAUCAAAGCUUGUACUAUGGGUACUAGGCGACGUUAAACAUACUUAUUUAGAUAAAUAUAUAUUUACGUAUAUACAUAAAAAACACGCAAGCCUUAGGAACAAAUAUCUGUAUUCAUCACACAAAGAAAUGCCCUUACGCGAUUCAAACUCGGGACCAUCGGCUUCAUAGGCAGGGUCACUACCCACUAGGCCAAACCGGUCGGCAAAAGGUAAAGAUAAUUAGGUAAAGACAAUGAAUAAUUAAACGUAUUAUAAAUUGACACCAAUAUCCAUCAAAUAGUAUAACUAGGUAUGCUAAGAGCGGGCUUCAGGCCAUUACGUCGCACCUUUAGAAUUAAAUUAAUUUGACUCAAAAAGUACGACUACUUUAUAUAUGUAGUUUGGUAGAACAGUAAGAACUCACUAUAUGUGUCUCUUUUUCAUGCGGUGAAAUCCCCCCGACCCGGAAAGGAUAGCGACGCCCAUUUUAUCGACUCUCGAGUCGACUCCAAUCUGAUACUAAUAAAACCAUACGGAAAUAAUGAGGAUGCAUCGACAUAAGAAGAAUCGAACAUGGGCAAGAUAAAGUUCAAGAAAAAAGCAAAUAUAAUGUGUACUUGUGUGUAGUCAAAGAAAGUUGAAAAAUAAAGCAUAAUUAAUGGCCAUAGAAUACAGAACCGAUACACGAACAUUAAGACUAUUAAAAAUAGACAUUUAGGUUGAUCGUACUACUCGUACUAAUGUAUAUCUUUUGUUCAAUUAUAUUAUUGCAUUAAAGUUAGAUUCUCUAGAUAUAUAUUAUUCAUAGGUUCUGUAUUCUAUACGAAUUGUUUCAGUGUAAUUAUUGUACUAAAUACCGUUGACCGCCUGUCAACAGUAUUUAUUUCUACAUUACUAUCACAGAAGAUUUUAGGCCCUACCGUACAGUUUUUGAAUUAGUAUUUACUAUGGACAUAUAUAGCGAAAUGUGAGUUUUUACCUAAAAUAUCAAUCUUUUGUGAACGUGGUGUAGAGUAUAUACCGCCUAAGACUGAAGUAGCUACGCGGGUUACGUUUUAAAAAUAGAAUCGUGUUCAUGGUCGGCCCAUGGUAAAAAUAAUUAGGUACCCGUAGACCCGCUGGUGAACACUGUUUAUGAUAACACUUAAAAUAAACCCCGUGGACCCACCAGGAGAACAUAUUGGAGAGACUAGAGAUAAUACACCGCUUUAAGGGCGGUCGCACUCGGCAUUGACAUCUGGCAUCUAGAUGGCGGGUGGACCUCAGCGAAUUUCAAAGAAAUAUUUAUAAACAUCCAAUGACGUUCGGCUCGGACACCAGAUCUUCAAUCUCCUGAUUCCUGUGGAGUCUCCAGGUUCCAUCCUCUCCACGUGUGAGUCCUAGGAUUUUUCGCGCUGCCAGACUCCGAUGACUCGGGCACGUAGUCCAGAUGGGUGAGGAUCGUGCAGCCUGGAGGGCGUACUCUGAAGUUCCAAAUGGCCGAAGACCAUCUAGACGUCCUAGGUAGGUCCCGCUGGAGAGACGAAAUGCAAAAAGACCUUAGCGAACUCGGCGCCGUCGACUAGAUGGAAACGGUUUUGGACAGAGAAGCAUGGCGGUCUUUGGUGUCGGAGGCCAAGAUCCACUUCGGGUCGCUGCGCCAUAGCAGUAAGUAUUUAUAAACAUACUGUACCUUCUGUGUACCUAACCCAAAACGAGAUAUUUAAGAAAAAGUCCACCCGCCAUUCUGACGUCUGGAUUGCGGUUGGACCUAUGAAAUCUUGCAUUAUACCGCACUAAAAGUAUGCAGUUAUAUGGUACAGUCGCCAUCAGAUAUAUCGGAGUGGCCGAGGUGCUCAAAGAUCUCUAAACACGCACUCUAACCUCUUGACAGUAGAGGCAUGUUCAGAUAUUCGUGGGUACCUUGGCCGCUCCGAUAUAUAUGAUGGUGACUGUACCUUCAGUGUACCUCUGUAAAUAGAAAUAGAAACCGGUGUACCUCUCCCCAAAACAAGCUAGGCUAAGCUCAUGCACAAUAUAACUGCAUACUUUUAGUGCGGUAUAAUGCAAGAUUUCAUAGGUCCACCCGCCAUCCUGACGUCAGGUUGGCGGGUGGACCGUUUUGUAAAAUAUCUCGUUUUGGGGAAAGGUACACUGGUUUCUAUUAAAGGUACACUGAGGUACACAGAAGGUACAAUAUGUUUAUAAAUAUUUCUUUGAAAUUCGCUGAGGUCCACCGCCAUCCUGACGCUUACCAUAUAUCUAAGGACCGACCUUAGGGGCAAUAACGAUAGUGCUAGUUCAGUUGUGUCAUUCACAAAUUCGAGCCAAUCGUGCUGUCUAACGCAACUAGAUGCGAUCAAUCGCGUGCGUAAUGCGAACUCAUCAACCAAUCACGUUGUGGUACUUGUGGCGUUAGACUGCACGAUUGGCUCAAACUCGUGUGCGUAACACCGCUGUACUGGCCCCAUUCUUAUUGCCCGUAAGGCCCGUCCUCAGAUAUAUUAUGUCAAUGACACAGUCGCGAUUUUAAAAAAUCACAUCGCUUCUGCUACCAAGUUGUUGAGCAUAACGUUUUCCUAUCCAUAGGUUCCAUCUGUCCAGUAGGAUCCACCAUCUCGAUCCACCAGAUUGAAGAGAUUGUUACUUAACUGAUGGAUCGAGAUAAUGAAACCUACUGAAUAGAGCGGGUCGAUUGGAUAUAACAAAGUACGCUUAUAUGAAACGCUACUCCGGUGUGCGAGUGAGACAGUCAGGCCAAUUUGAACUUGCAUUUGACAGAAAAUUGUCUCCAUCAAACGCUACCAGUUCCAUUGCCGGCCUCUUCGCUGCCUUCUAUAGUGGUUCAAUCUUACCUUGCUUAUGAAUAAAAAGGGGCGUGCACACCGAUAUUAGAGUAAUAUUGGAAUCAUAUCAGUUAAUUGCGGGCGUCUCGCUCGCACAAAUACAUGCGUAUAAGUGCGAAAUGAACGCACGAAUGACAGCUAACUGGUAUCAUUCCAAUAUUAUUCUAAAAUUGGUUUAAUGUCAGUUGCACUUUCGAAUUGGCCUACAUAGCGAUUUCCUUAGCCUGCACACCGGAUCGGCGUGUGGGCCGGCAUCUAGCUAAUGUAAAGCCACCUCAUUAGGUGCUUUUAGCCUUUUGAACGGCAAGAACACCUAAAGAUGUGGUGAGAGAAAGCCGCGCGUCCCUCAUGCACUGCACUAGCUUUACAGCUUGCAUUGCGACCAAUGUAUGCCGCUCACCGCCCCGCCGGUCGCGUGGGUCCAAUCCGCGGCCCUAGAAGACGUACUUUACAUAUAAACAAGAGCACGCGAGCAUAUUGCGAGUUGUGUAUGUGUACUUGUGUUAUCUAAGCGCACAAACGGUUACAAUAACAAGAAGUGUACACCGCGUGUGCAGUCCAACACGGGAGCACGGGUGCGAUUCGAAAAUAACGCGCUAGCGACGCAUUACGACAUUGAUACUUUACCAUUUGAAUGCCAUAAACAAAAACGUUACUCACACGCCAAGGUCACGGGCGCAAGUGAGCUUGAAAGUGCAUGAGUAUUACAUUAGGGACUUUGACAGCGAUUAUAACAGCUAUAAUCAUUAAUGUGUUCAUGGCCCUUAAAUCAUGUCUAGUGACGGCGCCUUUAGGUGUUCUUGACGUUCAAAAGGUUAAGGGCGUUUGCUAGCUGGCGCUAAUGCACGGAGCGGGCAAACACGCGCAGGUGCCUUUGUAAGUAAAAUCAGUCGCACGCGUCCGCGCCAGUUAGCGUUGCUGAUACUGUAAGCCGCACGCCCGCUCCAUGCACACGCGCGACGUUGCGGACGCCCUAUGCCCUAAACCUUACUUGAAAGUGUGAAGGUUACUCUGACAGCGGCUAUAUCAGCUAUAAUGUAUUUAUGACGCUUUGAGCAUAGCUAGUUAAGACGCCUUAAGGUAUUCUUGGCGUUUAAAAGGUUAAGGGCGUUUGCUAGCUGGCGCGAGUGCACGGAGCGGGUGCACGCGCGCGGGUGCCUUUGUAGGUAAAAUUCGUUGCACGCGUCCGCGCCAGUUAGCGUCGCCAGUUACUGUUUUUCGUUAACCCGCUCCAGCUAGCAAACUAAUCGCAAAUGGUCCGAGAUUGGCGCAAUAACCAUGCAUUACCUUAUCUGGAUCUGGAUGCACCUAUUCACCAAUGCUUGCUUUAAAGUAACUUGUCGACUCGUCCUGAUAAUAUUUGUGCGACCGUGAAGAAAAUCUAUGCCGUCACUUAUUUUUCAAUUUAUAUGAAAUAAAGAUGUUAAAUGUAUUCAAAAGUUUUUAUUUAAUAAGGUAUGUAUAAGUGCUCUGUGCAUCCGCACCAGCUAGCGGUGCCCUUAGCAAACCAAUCGCAAAUGGUCCGAGAUUGGCGCAAUAACCAUGCAUUCUCUUAUCUGGAUCUGGAUGCACCUAUUCACUAGAAAAUGUAUGCCGUCAGUUAUUUUUCAAUUUAUAUGAAAUAAAGGUGUUAAAUGUAUUCAAAA